rnacentral:rRNA from 1 species
AACGAACGCUGGCGGCAGGCUUAACACAUGCAAGUCGAGCGCCCCGCAAGGGGAGCGGCAGACGGGUGAGUAACGCGUGGGAACGUACCUUUUGGUUCGGAACAACUCCGGGAAACUGGAGCUAAUACCGGAUAAGCCCUAACGGGGAAAGAUUUAUCGCCGAAAGAUCGGCCCGCGUCUGAUUAGCUAGUUGGUGAGGUAACGGCUCACCAAGGCGACGAUCAGUAGCUGGUCUGAGAAGAUGAUCAGCCACACUGGGACUGAGACACGGCCCAGACUCCUACGGGAGGCAGCAGUGGGGAAUAUUGGACAAUGGGCGCAAGCCUGAUCCAGCCAUGCCGCGUGAGUGAUGAAGGCCUUAGGGUUGUAAAGCUCUUUGUCCGGGAAGAUAAUGACUGUACCGGAAGAAUAAGCCCCGGCUAACUUCGUG